GAUGUGGCACAGUGGUAGUGCGACUACAUGCAACGCAGAAGGUUCCGGAUUCAAUUCUCGGUGGGUCA